AUGAAACAAGACGACGCCCCCGUUUUUGCCCAGCAGGUCUCCGACGUCGAGCGCUCUCCACCGGCCACUCCCCCCGUCAGAAUCAGCCAUGACUCACAUGGGGUCUCCGGUGUUGAGCGCUCUCCACCGGCCACUCCCCCCGUCAGAAUCAGCCACGACUCACACGGGUGUCUCCACUCCCAGCCAUACACGUCCAGGAAAGGCACCUUGUCACGCAGCGCUACUCGUGUCAUUGAUAAAUACCGCCGCAAGAGAGCCACAAAUAAGUCGACGAAAGGCAAUGCAACUAGCACCAGAAUAAAUUCAAGAUGCCAACCAAAGUGUGUCAUUAGUUUGAUUAACGGUUUUGAUGACAUGAAAAAGGAUCUUGUCCGUCAAACAGGGCUUCACGGCAUCCUUCAGCUGAAGUUAACUAAAGUUAACAGACAGUAUGGCGCCUGGCUUCUGAGCAAGAUUGAUGUUGAUUCAUGUGCCAUCGUAGCUGAUGUUCAUAAAGUGGUUCCCUUCUCUGCGAGGGACGUUAAUUCAGUCUUGGGUGUACCAUGCAGCGGGAGAACCAUUGAGACCUGUAACCAAGAUGAGGUAGAAAGGAGUAAGAGGAUUCUUUGUGAUAUUUUUGAGGUUCCACACUUUUCACAGGUUACUGUUAAAUUGUUGGAGACAAUUCUUAAUAAACAAUAUUCAUAUCCGAUGAGCUUAAAGGACCAAUGA
rnacentral:rRNA from 1 species